UACAGAGGGUGCGAGCGUUAAUCGGAAUUACUGGGCGUAAAGCGCGCGUAGGCGGUUUUGUAAGUCGGGUGUGAAAUCCCCAAGCUUAACUUGGGAACUGCAUUCGAGACUGCAUAGCUAGAGUAUGGGAGAGGGAAGUGGAAUUUCAGGUGUAGCGGUGAAAUGCGUAGAUAUCUGAAGGAACAUCAGUGGCGAAAGCGGCGCGCUGGACCACUACUGACGCUGAGGAACGAAAGCGUGGGGAGCGAACAGG
rnacentral:rRNA from 1 species